GCCACUCCUUGCAGUCUUUGUGACUGGCCAGCUCAAAGAGAGAGACAGCAUUGUAGAGCUGCCAGAACUGCGAGAGGGACAGGAAAGGUCACAGUGAGAUGAGAAAGUUGCAUGCCGAUUCGUCCCCCGCACCUCUUGCGGCCAUGCGACAGAUACAGGCCCAUACUUACAUGGCCGAAGAAGAGGAAGGGCAGGAGGAAAGUGAGUCCCCUCCACAUCCAGGACUGAAAGCCCUCUGAACCAAGACAAAGACAUGAGGCAGAUAUCAUUGGACUCCCAACAUCCAACAGGAGUAUUUCCCAAUCUGGUCCUCAGAGACCUACAGACAGUCCACAUUUUUGCUCCCUCCCA